GAUGAAGAACGUAGCGAAAUGCGAUAUGUAAUGUGAAUUGCAGAAUUCAGUGAAUCAUCGAAUCUUUGAACGCACAUUGCGCCCCUUGGUAUUCCGAGGGACAUGCCUGCUCGAGCGUCAUUAUAACCCCUCAAGCUCAGCUUGGUGUUGGGGCCUGCUGCACUGGCAGCCCUUAAAAUCAGUGGCGGCGCCAUCUGGCUCUAAGCGUAGUAAUUCUUCUCGCUAUGGAGUCCUGGUGGAUGCUUGCCAUCAACCCCCAAUUUUUCUAUGGUUGACCUCGGAUCAGGUAGGGAUACCCGCUGAACUUAAGCAUAUCAAUAAGCGGAGGA
rnacentral:misc_RNA from 1 species